CAGAGAGUCGAUGUGGUUUGUGCCCAGGUUGUGGGGAGGGAAGAGUAAAAACGGGAGCUGAGGAGAGAGUCAGCAGCAGGAAGUGAACGUUGUCCACAUCAAAAAGGUAAAAUGGAAUGUUCCCGUGGGCCUCCAGAAUCCAUGAGAGCACCACCUGGGAGGGAUCAGCUUUACACGUGGGUCAGGACAAAACCAUCCCAUAGGAGUGUCAGUCAGGUAAGGCUGCUUACCUGUCCUCCCUCCCUCCCCUCUCCAACCUUAGCAAGUUGGAGGAGGAGCCUUGUCGAUGAAAAUAAUCCAUACCCAAUCUAUAAACGAAAAUUUGGGUGAGUUUAUUCUGAGCUUAAAUCUUAGGAUUACAACCCGGGAGAGUCUUUCCACAAAGGAACAGAGCACUCCAAAGAAGUGGGGGUACACAAGGUGGUUAUAUACCCUCAAAGAGGGUGUUUUACAUAUGAUUGAAAUGUCCCUCCCACAAUAGUCACAAGAUUGCCCUGUCGGCACAGCACUUGAUGGACACAGCAGGUAGUGGGUCUGCUAUCUUGGAAGGCGUAGCAGGAGGCAAGUCUAUUGUCUCGAGCUGGGCGGCCACAGAUUAGCCCUGAGCUAACAUCUGCUGCCAGUCCUCCUCUUUUUGCUGAGGAAGACCGGCCCUGAGUCAACAUCCCCGCAACUCUUCCUCUACUUUAUAUGUGGGACACCUACCAUAGCAUGGCGUGCCAAGCGGUGCCGUGCCCGCACCCAGGAUCUGAACCAGCGAACCCCAGGCUGCCAAAGUGGAACAUGAAAACUUAACCACUGCACCAUUGGGCUGGCCCCUUAAGUUAUUUUUGUUGAGUUCAGUAUUUGUAAGAAUUUUACUAAAAUUUUAAAAUAAUCUUUCCCCAACAUGACAAAAAUCCUCCAAAAUGUUCACAUAUAGAAGUAUUUGAGUUUAGAAACCUACAAAUCUAAUCAUAAUUAUUAUCUGUGCUACAUACAUGCAUUAGGUAUUGACUCUAAAAUAACGAGUAAUAUUAAGCACUUCUUACCUUAUCCCAAAAUAUUUUUUUCAUGGCACCUGCUAACAUUAAAAAAAAAUCUUGUGUAUUUCAUCCCUUGAGUAACGUGUAAUAGUUUUUUGGUGCUGAUAUUUGAUUUCUGUAUAAAUGUUCUUCCACGAUGUUACUGAAUUUUGCCAAAUGAAUAAUAUUCUGAUUUCCACACUCUUAAAAUUGGGUGUCUGAAUGCUAGCUAUUGCCUCACCAAAACAGAAUCAUUUAUAUAAUGUUUUUAACAAGAGCACACCAAUAUCUUUUCCCAUUUUAUAUAGUCUCUCUUCUGCAGCACCACCUUUCGGGGUGUCCCAUAUAUCUCGGUUGCUCUUUUCUGUGUUUUCUCUCCUUUUUUUGCCUGUACUUUAAUCUCAAUACUUUCUGCUGCCUGUCUUCCAGUUCAUUAAACCUCUGUUCUGCUGUUUCCAAUCUGCUAUUAAUCCCAUCAAAUGAAUUCUUUUUUAAUAACAACUUGAUUGAAGUACUAUACAUACAAUAAACUGUACCUAUUCAAAGUGUAAAAUUUGAUGAGUUUAGACAUAUGUAUACAUCCAUGAAAACACCACCAUAAUCAAGACUCAGAUCGUUCUCAUCACCCUCAAAAGUUUCUUUGUGCCUCUUUACCUCUCGUUUUUCUCUCCACAUCUGGUCCCAGGCAACCACUGAUCUGCUGUCAUUAUAGAUUAGUUUGCAUUUUCUUGAAUUUUAUAUGGAAUUAUACAGUACGUAUUCUUUUGUUUUUGGCUUCUUUCUCUCAGUAUAAUGAUUUUGAGAUUUGUCUACAUUGUUUAGUGUGUUGGUGAUUCAUCCCUUUUAAUUGCUGGGUAGUAUUCCAUUUCACGGAUUUAAUGCAUUUUUGUUCAUCCAUUCACCUGUUGAUGGGUAUUUGGGUUGUUUCCAGCUUUUUGAUACUGUGAAUAAAGCUGCUAUAAAUAUUCUUUUCCAAGUCUUGGUGUGGACAUAUGUUUUCAUUUCUCUUAGGUAAAUACUUAUGUGAUAGUUUUUUUUUAGGUGUUAACUUUUUGAAGUGAAUAACUUGUCCUCAGUUAUUCUACACUAUUCAACACUAAUCUAAGUGCUGCUAUGAAGGCAUUUUUUGUAGAUAUGAUUAAAGUCCAUAAUUGGUUGACUUUAAGUAAGGGAUAUUAUCCUGGAUAAUCUGGUUGGGCCUGAUUUAACCAGUGAAAAGUCCUGAAAAGCAGAGUUCAGGUUCUCCCGAAGAAGAACUUCUGCCUUGGGACAGCAGCUUCAGCCCUUGCCUGAGUCUCAACCUGAUCUUCCUGAUAGCCCGUCCUAUGGAUUUCAGAUUUGCUUAACCAGUCCUCCUCCCCAC
ensembl:lncRNA